UACGUAGGGUCCGAGCGUUGUCCGGAAUUACUGGGCGUAAAGAGCUCGUAGGUGGUUUGUCGCGUUGUUCGUGAAAACUCACAGCUCAACUGUGGGCGUGCGGGCGAUACGGGCAGACUAGAGUACUGCAGGGGAGACUGGAAUUCCUGGUGUAGCGGUGGAAGUGCGCAGAUAUCAGGAGGAACACCGGUGGCGAAGGCGGGUCUCUGGGCAGUAACUGACGCUGAGGAGCGAAAGCGUGGGGAGCGAACAGG
rnacentral:rRNA from 1 species